ACGGGUGAGUAACGCGUGGGAAUCUACCGUGCCCUGCGGAAUAGCUCCGGGAAACUGGAAUUAAUACCGCAUACGCCCUACGGGGGAAAGAUUUAUCGGGGUAUGAUGAGCCCGCGUUGGAUUAGCUAGUUGGUGGGGUAAAGGCCUACCAAGGCGACGAUCCAUAGCUGGUCUGAGAGGAUGAUCAGCCACAUUGGGACUGAGACACGGCCCAAACUCCUACGGGAGGCAGCAGUGGGGAAUAUUGGACAAUGGGCGCAAGCCUGAUCCAGCCAUGCCGCGUGAGUGGUGAAGGCCUUAGGGUUGUAAAGCUCUUUCACCGGAGAAGAUAAUGACGGUAUCCGGAGAAGAAGCCCCGGCCAACUUCGUGCCAGCAGCCGCGGUAAUACGAAGGGGGCUAGCGUUGUUCGGAAUUACUGGGCGUAAAGCGCACGUAGGCGGAUAUUUAAGUCAGGGGUGAAAUCCCAGAGCUCAACUCUGGAACUGCCUUUGAUACUGGGUAUCUUGAGUAUGGAAGAGGUAAGUGGAAUUCCGAGUGUAAAGGUGAAAUUCGUAGA
rnacentral:rRNA from 1 species